AGGGCAAUGAGAUGCAUGAUUGGC
rnacentral:siRNA from 1 species